rnacentral:miRNA from 1 species
UGUGUUGAUCCAUGGUGUAUAAAAUCACUUUUUCAAAAAGCAGUAGUGGGCUGGAGAGAUGGCUCAGCCAUUAAAGGCUAGGCUCACAACCAAAAAUA